GGUAGUAAUAAUUAAACCAACGUAUAUUGGCGGUCUUUAAUUAUUAGAGAAACUCGCCCCAUAAUCGAAAACACCCGUUAAAUUUAACUAGAUUCAAUAGCCUAUAUACCGCCGUUCAAAAUUAAAUAAAUAAUCACAAAUCUUAAAUCUUAAAUCAAUCAUAAUUCAGGUCAAGGUGUAGCCAACAAUCAGGCGUGGGUAAGUUACAAUAAAUAAGAUUUAAGAAAAUAAAGUAAAAAUCAUUAUAGAAAGAGAAUCUAUAUGUACAACACAAGUUAAAAACUGUUAUAGAACACUAUAC
rnacentral:rRNA from 1 species